rnacentral:rRNA from 1 species
CCUACGGGAGGCAGCAGUGGGGAAUAUUGGGCAAUGGAGGCAACUCUGACCCAGCAACGCCGCGUGAAUGAUGAAGGUCUUCUGAUUGUAAAGUUCUUUUUUGGGGGAUGUACACAAUGACGGUACCCCAAUAGCAAGCCACGGCUAUCUACGUGCCAGCAGCCGCGGCAAUACGUAGGUGGCAAUCGUUAUCCGGAAUGACUGGUCGUAAAGGGUGCGUAGGUGGUGUAGUAAGUUGGCGGUGUAAUUCCGGGGCUCAACCUCAGCUCUACCGCAAAAACUAUUAGACUAGAGUUCAGGAGGGGUAAGUGGAAUUCCUAGUGUAGCGGUGGAAUGCGUAGAUAUUAGGAGGAACAUCAGGGGCGAAGGCGACUUACUGGACUGUAACUGACACUGAGGCACGAAAGCGUGGGGAGCAAACAGGAUUAGAUACCCUUGUAGUC